rnacentral:sRNA from 1 species
CGCACACCAUCGCACCUGCUCGAGGAAAACACCCAUCGUCAUCAGCAACCUCGUCUUUCUCCCUCUUAUUCUCGUCUCUGCAACUCGGCGAACGCAGGAACCCUCCGACGAGUUUCUUGAAUUUCUCCGGUUAGGUAAGCUUCGGGUUUACCUCUUUCUGUACUAGAUUGAAGCUUAGAUGUAAAUUUUAAGUUCUAUCUUGUGUUUUUCCAAGGUUUUUGGGACGAAAUCGGCUCGGGAAUAGGCACACCCAUCUCCGGCGAGGCCGUGGGUGUCGAGAGGUUU